AAAAUCUGAUUUCCUGCUGCUGUUGCUCUGUACAGAGCGCCGUCCCUCAUUGUAACAGCGCAAAUUUGCCAGAGCGCUGCGGCACCCUACUGGUCUGGGAUAUUUCGAAUCGGUCCUUACCGUUCAUUAUGGAAUACAACAUAAAUCCGGAGCUCAGAAACGGAGAGAAAAACAACACAAAGAAGCCCGACUUGAAAAAACCAAGAAGGCUAGUCGUACUUUGUUUGACAGUGGUGUUAGGCCAAAAGAAAGUCAGACAGAGCCAGCAUGACAGUUAGUACUAGGCCUAAUAAUUCAGAGCAAGCCUGUGAUGAAAAAGCCUGUGUUGAUUCUGUUAAAACGUGUAAUUUAAGAACAAAAAUAGUACAAACUGAAACUAGUGUUCUUGCACGGGAAGAAACGCUGGCUACAAACUAGACUAAAAAAACAAGCCCUGCUGAAACUAGUAAUAUUGAACUCCGAGAGAAUGAAAUAUGUGGAUUUGAUAUUGGACUGUUAUCAAAUAAUGCGCUAUCUGUAACUGUGAUCGAAAUUGCUUCAAAAAGGGCCACCUAGACAUCCAGACACAUUUCCCUGUGAUAGAAAAAUAAAGUUUCCGAAUUCUGUAUUAAAAUAAAAAAUUAAAAAAUUCUGUAUUAUAAAAAAAAAAAAAAAAAAAAAAAAACGGAGAGGUUUCUAACAGGGAUUGCCUUGUAUGAUUGAGUCAAAGUGCAGACUCGCUCGUUUGUUUCCCUUGGAGAUUAUUCAGUUCAAACGCCGAUUCUUGCAAAUCGGCUUUGCCAAGUGACAACAGCUGGAAAAAGGAAUUGUCAUGGCGCAAAUUAUAUGAUAAAUUGCCUGCUCAUGAGCCAGUGAUCACCACAAGCAAUGUUAUCUGAAAUGGCGAGAUUUAGCGAGAAGACUUGGCCAAGGAACUGAUAUAAAUUCACAACUAGACAAAGAAAUAGAAGCUAAAAUGAAGUAUUGGAAGGAUUUGCUUAACCGAAUUCUGUCAGUGACUUACUGAGUGAGAAAGGACUUGCUGAAAAUGAAACAAAUCAAAAGCGUACAAAGAUCAACAAUCGGACAAGAAAGACUUAAAGGUCUUGCGCUUCUUGCUAUUGAGCACGAUCUUGCCAAAAUCCUCGAAGAGUUGCAUUUUAGGACCCAUUCCGCAUUCAGAUACUAUCACGAGGGGAACAGCCUACAGGAAAGGAUUAAUACAGAGGAACCACUGGCCACAUUAACAGCAAUGAAGGAUGAAGUGGGCUACUCAGCUGAGCUGCAGGGCUUGGACGAUGCGGAUAGCAACAUGUUUUACAACCCCGAGGAAGACGAAAAAAAUAGGGUGGUAUUUCAACAAGAAAAUGCAGAGUGUCGAGUAUCUCUAACUCAUGAGCAUCUGUCAAAGAAGAAAUAUCAACAUCCUCAAGGCAGAACCUCAUUUGGAAUGUCUAUUUUUAACCUCAGCAAUGCCAUUAUGGGCAGUGGAAUCUUAGGGCUUUCCUAUGCCCUGGCUAACACUGGAAUAAUACUGUUUGUGCUUAUUCUAGUGUCAGUUACAAUACUAGCACUGUAUUCAAUCCGUCUGCUGCUGCUGUGCUCCCAGAAAACAGAUUGCAUGGUCUAUGAAGACUUGGGCUAUAGGGCAUUUGGGAUGCCUGGAAAGCUUGCUGUUUUUGGCUCAACAUUUCUUCAAAACAUUGGAGCAAUAUUAUCCUACAUGUUCAUUGUGAAAAAUGAACUUCCGUUGGUCAUCCAGUUUCUUACGGGUCUCGAUACGAAGAAUGAAUCUUCAUACUUGAAUGGAGACUGCCUUGUUAUCAUGGUGACUGUGACUAUCAUCCUGCCACUCUGUCUUUUAAAGUCGCUUGGUUAUCUGGGAUAUACAAGUGGAUUUUCCCUGGCUUGUAUGGUAUUCUUUUUAAUUGUGAUUAUCUAUAAGAAAUUUGAUUUACCCUGCCCUGGCCUGGAAUUAAAUUCGACAAGGCAGGCUGCAAGCAUGAUACCUGGUAAAAAAACAGGAGUGUGUGAACCAGAGUAUUAUACAUUCAAUACUAAGACUAUCUAUGCUUUACCCACCAUCCUGUUUGCAUACGUAUGUCAUCCAUCGAUUCUUCCAAUCUACAGCGAACUUAAAGAGCGUACAUCGAAGAAAAUGGAGCAUGUAUCAACAGUUUCAUUCUUGUCCAUGUUUUUCAUGUACAUCCUGACUGCAUUUUUUGGCUAUUUUACAUUUUAUGAUCAAGUAAAUGAGGACCUGCUUCACACCUAUGAUGCCAACCGUGACGUCAUGAUUCUUCUAGUGCGGCUAGCCGUUGUCACAGCAGUUAUUCUCACAGUGCCAGUACUUUUCUUUGUUGUCCGCAGGUCUCUUUUGGAGCUGAUCAAGCAACAAAAGUUCAACUGGAAUCUUCACAUUAGCUUAACACUGGUGCAACUUCUGCAAACAUGCUGAUGUUCAUUCUUCCUUCUGCACUGUACUUAAAACUUGACAAGACUUUGGCAACCAAACAAAAGAUCAAGCCUGUUAUCUUCCUGACAGCUGGGGUACUCUGCACUCUCAUCACAGUUCCCUUAGUUAUUAUUGACUGGGUGCAUACAAAGCAGUCA